AGCCCCAUAGCUCAGUGGCUAGAGCGCUGGUCUUCUAAACCAGAGGUCGCGAGUUCAAUUUUUGCUGGGGCUG